UGACCUAAAGAGCAUGCACAGAGGCUCCUGAAUUUUACAAUUUUCCAAGUUAUUGAAUGAAUUAAUGCUCCUGUUUGACACCAGUCAUUAAGGAACCAGAUUUCUGUUUUCGGCACAAAUGAGACUAGCAUUUCGACUCUGUUUAAAGAUGGAGAUGCAAGUAUUUAGAGCAUUUACUAUCCUUAUUAUAUUUUCUUCUCUUCAUUAGGGUUAUUUUGAUGUGAAUUUGACUACCAUUUCCACCUGUAGGGUCGACGGCAAGCCAUUAUAUCUAUCCCAAUUGAAUGAAAUCUGUUUAAGAUAUUCGAUGGACUAUAACUGGUCACUGGUCAGCAUAUUGUGGCAGCAUCCAUAACUCCUGUUUGCACAAGCUACAGUAUUUUGUAAUGAGGAGAAGUCGAACACCUUAUAGCAUUGAGUUUGAAUGAAGUUACCUGCCAUGCGGGAAGUAGUUGAUAAGGAGCCUUGUGCAUUCAUAAUCUUAUGUUGAAUGUUUUUUUCGUACUUUCAAGGAAUACUGGAUUCAAAUCCAUGCUUCACCACUGCAGCAUGUAUCUGCUUUCCAUAAACAUGUGAGCCAAUUGAGGCACAAGCUCU